CGCAUUUCUGCAGAUGUCAUGCAACUUUAGAGGACGAUCCGUUUACCGUCGCACACGCGGCACGCCUUACCAGGCAGAGAACCGUUCCUUCCGUUGGAAAGUAAGGGACCGCGUUCUGAACGCUGGCCGAAAACAAUCCCCCUGCCAGGCCUGGAUGAUUUGACCCCGGGGAAAGCUUCGCAACUUCAAAGGAUGGCGUGGGUAAAAGACCUCGGUGUAGUUUAGCUUUUCUUUCUUUCGCACUUUUCCCACUGAAUUCACGCGCUCGUCACAGUUUCCAGUUGCCGUUUUUUUUCCGCGGCAAGUGUCUCGUGUGACGAGUUGGGAAUCCAGGCCCGAUCCAAGUUACGUUCAUAUUUUCGGGAUUCCGAAGCCUCAGCCACAGGUUGAUCGCCAAAAAAACCUGGACCGCGCCGCUCCUGUCAGCGCAGCAGCACGUUUACCGUUUUGUCUUGGUUGGACGCAUUCACACACAGUCUCUGGUCCCUUGGUUUCGUCAGAGAGUUCAACAGAGAUUCACAAGACAGGCCGUGCCUUUCCUGCGUUGCGCCGGAAAUUCAACGUCUGCGUCGACGGCUUUCAACCUCCGACGUGCCACGUUGUGUCCUCUGUCGAUCCUGUGAAGCAUCGUCCGUUUGCAAAAGGCUACAGGCGUUCCGAAGCAUUUGUGAGGGAGAGGACGGCGUGGGCUUCAACGGGCGGGACUUGUGUUUGUCCAGUUCUUUUAAACUUCCGGUCGGUGGGCUGGGAAACGCACCGUCACCGUUGAAAAAACGCCUGUUCGCUACAGCCAAUCAAAGCCG
rnacentral:lncRNA from 1 species